rnacentral:tRNA from 1 species
AAAAAGAUAAGCUAAAUAAGCUAUUGGGUUCAUACCUCAAUUAUAAAGAUAAACUUUUCUUUUUA